rnacentral:rRNA from 1 species
ACCCGCUGAACUUAAGCAUAUCAAUAAGCGGAGGAAAAGAAACCAACAGGGAUUGCCUCAGUAACGGCGAGUGAAGCGGCAACAGCUCAAAUUUGAAAUCUGGUCCUUUCGGGGCCCGAGUUGUAAUUUGUAGAGGAUGUUUCGGGCGCGACGCCGGUCUAAGUCCCUUGGAACGGGGCGUCAUAGAGGGUGAGAAUCCCGUAUGUGACCGGUGACCAAGCCUAUAUGAAACUCCUUCGACGAGUCGAGUUGUUUGGGAAUGCAGCUCAAAAUGGGUGGUAAAUUUCAUCUAAAGCUAAAUACCGGCCAGAGACCGAUAGCGCACAAGUAGAGUGAUCGAAAGAUGAAAAGCACUUUGGAAAGAGAGUCAAAAAGUACGUGAAAUUGUUGAAAGGGAAGCGCUUGCAACCAGACCUGUCCGCGGGUGAUCAGCCGUCCUUUUGGGCGGUGCACGCACCCGUGAUCAGGCCAGCAUCGGUUCAGACGGCCGGAUAAAGGCCUUGGGAAUGUAGCUUCUUUCGGGGAGUGUUAUAGCCCUUGGUGCAAUGCGGCCAGCCCGGACCGAGGACCGCGCUUCGGCAAGGAUGCUGGCGUAAUGGUUGUAAGCGGCCCGUCUUGAAACACGGACCAAGGAGUCUAACAUCUAUGCGAGUGUUUGGGUGGAA